rnacentral:rRNA from 1 species
UACAGAGGGUGCAAGCGUUAAUCGGAAUUACUGGGCGUAAGGCGUGCGUAGACGGUUAUGUAAGUCGGGUGUGAAAGCCCCGGGCUCAACCUGGGAAUUGCAUUCGAGACUGCAUAGCUAGGGUGCGGAAGAGGGAAGCGGAAUUUCCGGUGUAGCGGUGAAAUGCGUAGAUAUCGGAAGGAACACCAGUGGCGAAAGCGGCUUCCUGGUCCAGCACCGACGUUCAGGCACGAAAGCGUGGGGAGCAAACAGG